rnacentral:lncRNA from 1 species
UUGGAUAAAAAAUGGAGAAACUUAAGGAGAAAGAGAAAGAUCUUGACUUGAAACUAAAAGGUUGAAGGAACUUCACUUGCUUUGGAAAGAAGCUACUGAGAUUUAUAUUGACAACAAGCCGACACAAGCAUUACCCAAAAACCCAAUGUUUUAUGAACGAAGCAAACACAUAGAUACAAAGUAUCAUGUCAUUAUGUAGUAACUGGAUGUAAAAAAAGAAG